CCCAGAUAGUUUAAUCAAAACACUUAGGUCGUGACCCUAAAAACAGAGUUGCCCUCUUCUGGACU
rnacentral:tRNA from 1 species